AGUGAACGCUGGCGGUAGGCCUAACACAUGCAAGUCGAACGGCAGCACAGUAAGAGCUUGCUCUUACGGGUGGCGAGUGGCGGACGGGUGAGGAAUACAUCGGAAUCUACUUUUUCGUGGGGGAUAACGUAGGGAAACUUACGCUAAUACCGCAUACGACCUACGGGUGAAAGCAGGGGAUCUUCGGACCUUGCGCGAUUGAAUGAGCCGAUGUCGGAUUAGCUAGUUGGCGGGGUAAAGGCCCACCAAGGCGACGAUCCGUAGCUGGUCUGGGAGGAUGAUCAGCCACACUGGAACUGAGACACGGUCCAGACUCCUACGGGAGGCAGCAGUGGGGAAUAUUGGACAAUGGGCGCAAGCCUGAUCCAGCCAUACCGCGUGGGUGAAGAAGGCCUUCGGGUUGUAAAGCCCUUUUGUUGGGAAAGAAGAGCAGCAGGUUAAUACCCCGCUGUUCUGACGGUACCCAAAGAAUAAGCACCGGCUAACUUCGUG
rnacentral:rRNA from 1 species